UGGCAGACAAGUUCAGGAAGAGACCCUGC
rnacentral:piRNA from 2 species